AAGUGGUGUCACAAUUCAGAACACCUAGGUUCUAAUCUUAACCGGCAUACCCAGCUGCCUGGAGUUUUACAAAUCAUUUUAUUACUCUGGGUUUGAGUUUCCUGCUUGCAAACCUGGGAUAACAAACAGGUCUAUCCCUUAAAAGUUUCUAGAAAUGUACCUGUGAUUGUAAACCUAAUAUGCUCUAUAGAUUAUUUUAAAGCACUGUGAAAGCGUUUACCAUUAUCAUUGACCGCCAUUACCUAAAAAUCUCUGUUUAACCCAUCUACCUUGCAUCUGACCCACGGAUCUCUGGUACUAGGUUGCAGACCAAUGUUCUUCCAGGAUUGGCUACGCAGAUACGCGACACUAUAGAUGUCACAGUCACGGUGCACACCUGACUUCAAAGCUGCUUUUCUUUAGCCUCCUGAAUGAAAUCACCACAUUCUACAACCUCAAGCUGGAACUUCCUACAACUCAGCGUGACACUGACCUCAUUAUCUAAGAAACUUACCAGCAACUCAUCACUGAGAAGAUAUAACACUUUGUAUGGUGUUAUUUUUUUUCCUAUCCCUGACAUGGAAAUAAUCCAAAAUUAAAAUGCAGAGCAUCUUCCCAACCAACUACCUCCAUGGAUUUCACAUUCUUGACUGUAGAAUAUUUUUGCUGAACGCUACUUAUAUGUAGUUCUACACAUUUUCUGCAUAAAUGGGCACAACAGACAAAGGGACUUUUAAGAAAUAAACUAAAUGUGCCUAAUAGAGGAUUUACUCAUAAAUAAAAUUAAAAUAUUAUAUGCAGUGACAUGUUAAAUAACACCUAAUAAGAAAUCAUACAGAAAAGUAAGGUCAUUUUAGUGAUAUGUCAUUUUGAAUUAGGGGGAGAGGGUAUUUAUUAGUGUUACAGUAUUAAUAAGCCUGUAACAUACUAAAUUACCUGUUGGUUUUAUUUUGGUCACCUGUAUCAAUAAAACUUUGAUUCACACAUUUAAAUAACUAUACACAGUGACAAUGUUUAAUUAAGUAAAGAAUGCAGAAGAAGGGGGCAGCUGGAUGGCUCAGACUCUUGAUUUCCGCUCAGGUCACGAUCUCAUGGUUUGUGAGUAUGAGCCCUGCAUCGGGCACUGCCCUGACAGCAUGGAACCUGCUUGGGAUUCUCUCUCUCCC